rnacentral:rRNA from 1 species
GACGAACGCUGGCGGCGUGCCUAAUACAUGCAAGUAGAACGCUGAAGGAGGAGCUUGCUUCUCUGGACGAGUUGCGAACGGGUGAGUAACGCGUAGGUAACCUGCCUGGUAGCGGGGGAUAACUAUUGGAAACGAUAGCUAAUACCGCAUAAGAGUAGAUGUUGCAUGACAUUUGCUUAAAAGGUGCAAUUGCAUCACUACCAGAUGGACCUGCGUUGUAUUAGCUAGUUGGUGGGGUAACGGCUCACCAAGGCGACGAUACAUAGCCGACCUGAGAGGGUGAUCGGCCACACUGGGACUGAGACACGGCCCAGACUCCUACGGGAGGCAGCAGUAGGGAAUCUUCGGCAAUGGACGGAAGUCUGACCGAGCAACGCCGCGUGAGUGAAGAAGGUUUUCGGAUCGUAAAGCUCUGUUGUAAGAGAAGAACGAGUGUGAGAGUGGAAAGUUCACACUGUGACGGUAUCUUACCAGAAAGGGACGGCUAACUACGUG